rnacentral:lncRNA from 10 species
CCCCCUUUGCAUCCCCUCCUUGUAUGUGAGCUCUGUUUUUACUCUAUUUUACUCUAUUAAAUCUUGCAACUGCACUCUUCUGGUCCAUGUUUGUUAUGGCUCAAGCUGAGUUUUUGCUCGCGUCCACCACUGCUGUUUUGCCGCCGUCGCUGACCUGCCGCUGACUUCCAUCCCUCCAGAUCCAGUAGGGUGCCGGCUGUGCUCCUAACCCAGGGAGGCGCCCAUUGCCGCUCCCAAUGGGGUUAAAGGCUUGCCAUUGUUCCUGCAGGGCUAAGUGCCUGGGUUCGUCCUAAUCGAGCUGAACACUAGUCACUGGGUUCCAGGGUUCUCUUCCGUGACCCACGACUUCUAAUAGACCUAUAACACUCACCACAUGGCCCAAGAUUCCAUUCCUUGGAAUCCGUGAGGCCAAGAAACCCAGGUCAGAGAACAGGAGGCUUGCCACCAUCUUGGAAGUGGCCCACCACCAUCUUGGGAGCUCUGGGAGCAAGGACCCCUGGUAACACUUUCAGAUGUAAGUCUUCCUCAACUCAGAAAUGUUUUCUUAAGAAUAUGGGAGCCAUCUCUGAAAGGUAAUCAUCAAGAAAGAUAGUCCCCAAUCUCCUAGUCUCUGGAAGAGUUAGAAACUAACUUCAAUAAGCACCACGUAGCAAAUACUGAUGGCCUCAUCAUAUUCAUCAACUUUCUCCACAACUUUUUCAACUUACUCAUUAUUUUUUCACUAGCUCACACAGGUGCUAAAACCUCUUCCAUCUUUUAUUUCAAAGAAGUAGAUUACAAGUUGUCUCCCACAUGGCAAUAGUCUUGACCAUUAUUAUAGAAAGUUCCUCGUUGUUUUUAACAAGUGUUCAGUGCAAAUUUUUCUUUGUCAAUGCAUCGUUAGUCCAUUUACACAUCCUUUAAAGAAUGUAUACUAUGAAAAUUAGUUUUAAGAACAAUGGUAUAUUUAACAGAAACCAACACUGAAAAAAGAUUUCCUCCCCUUGUGUUUAAGCCCCAGAGAUACAUAUUUUGCUUUGUAUUAAGAUAGUUUUUGCUCCUUCUCUUACUACUCUAUUACAUUUUUGGCUAUAUGUAGAUCUUGUCAAUAACAGCUAUUAAUUAGUUGUCGUGACUUGCAAAAUCUCUGAUUUGGAUGAAAUACAAGACAUGAAGUUUUGAAAAAGAAGCUCAAGAAUCAUCCAGCCCAAUAAUAUAAUUUCCUGAUUAAUUGUGACAGACCCAGAAAUAUGGAGAAUUUUCCA